UGUGUUUUGGUGUAUGGUGCACAUUAUAUUUUGAUUAUAUAGGUAGCAGUUUAAUUCUGUUAAAUGCAG
rnacentral:tRNA from 1 species